rnacentral:rRNA from 1 species
UACGUAGGGUGCAAGCGUUGUCCGGAAUUAUUGGGCGUAAAGAGCUCGUAGGCGGCUUGUCGCGUCGGCUGUGAAAACCUGGGGCUCAACCCCGGGCCUGCAGCCGAUACGGGCAAGCUAGAAUUCGGUGAGGGAGACUGGAAUUCCUGGUGUAGCGGUGAAAUGCGCAGAUAUCAGGAGGAACACCGGUGGCGAAGGCAGCCCCCUGGGUUAGCACUGACGCUCAUGCACAAAAGCGUGGGGAGCAAACGAGG